UGGGUCUAAUACCGGAUAGGACCCCUUGCCGCAUGGUGGGGGGUGGAAAGCCUUGUGCGGUCUUGGAUGGGCUCGCGGCCUAUCAGCUUGUUGGUGGGGUGAUGGCCUACCAAGGCGACGACGGGUAGCCGGCCUGAGAGGGUGACCGGCCACACUGGGACUGAGACACGGCCCAGACUCCUACGGGAGGCAGCAGUGGGGAAUAUUGCACAAUGGGCGCAAGCCUGAUGCAGCGACGCCGCGUGGGGGAUGACGGCCUUCGGGUUGUAAACCCCUUUCGGCAGGGAACAAGCCGCUUCGGUGGUGAGGGUACCUGCGGAAGAAGCGCCGGCUAACUACGUGCCAGCAGCCGCGGUAAUACGUAGGGCGCGAGCGUUAUCCGGAAUUAUUGGGCGUAAAGAGCUCGUAGGCGGUUUGUCGCGUCUGCUGUGAAAGCCCGGGGCUCAACCCCGGGUCUGCAGUGGGUACGGGCAGGCUGGAGUGCAGUAGGGGAGACUGGAAUUCCUGGUGUAGCGGUGAAAUGCGCAGAUAUCAGGAGGAACACCGAUGGCGAAGGCAGGUCUCUGGGCUGUAACUGACGCUGAGGAGCGAAAGCAUGGGGAGCGAACAGGAUUAGAUACCCUGGUAGUCCAUGCCGUAAACGUUGGGCACUAGGUGUGGGGGCCAUUCCACGGUUUCCGCGCCGCAGCUAACGCAUUAAGUGCCCCGCCUGGGGAGUACGGCCGCAAGGCUAAAACUCAAAGGAAUUGACGGGGGCCCGCACAAGCGGCGGAGCAUGCGGAUUAAUUCGAUGCAACGCGAAGAACCUUACCAAGGCUUGACAUGUGCCGGACCGUCCCAGAGAUGGGGCUUCCCUUCGGGGCCGGUUCACAGGUGGUGCAUGGUUGUCGUCAGCUCGUGUCGUGAGAUGUUGGGUUAAGUCCCGCAACGAGCGCAACCCUCGUUCCAUGUUGCCAGCACUUCGGGUGGGGACUCAUGGGAGACUGCCGGGGUCAACUCGGAGGAAGGUGGGGACGACGUCAAAUCAUCAUGCCCCUUAUGUCUUGGGCUUCACGCAUGCUACAAUGGCCGGUACAAAGGGUUGCGAUACUGUGAGGUGGAGCCAAUCCCAGAAAGCCGGUCUCAGUUCGGAUUGGGGUCUGCAACUCGGCCCCAUGAAGUCGGAGUCGCUAGUAAUCGCAGAUCAG
rnacentral:rRNA from 1 species